rnacentral:rRNA from 1 species
ACCCGCUGAACUUAAGCAUAUCAAUAAGCGGAGGAAAAGAAACCAACAGGGAUUGCCUUAGUAACGGCGAGUGAAGCGGCAAUAGCUCAGAUUUGAAAUCGGUUGCGCCUGCGCCUCCGAGUUGUAAUCUGCAGAGGAGAUUUCGGUGAUGUCGCCGGUCCAAGUUCCUUGGAACAGGACGUCUUAAAGGGUGAGAAUCCCGUUAUAGACUGGCGUACGGACCCAUGUGAAACUCCUUCGACGAGUCGAGUUGUUUGGGAAUGCAGCUCUAACUGGGUGGUAAAUUCCAUCUAAGGCUAAAUAUCGGCGGGAGACCGAUAGCGCACAAGUAGAGUGAUCGAAAGAUGAAAAGCACUUUGAAAAGAGAGUUAAACAGUACGUGAAAUUGUUGAAAGGGAAGCGCUUGCAAUCAGAACGGCUUGGGUCCGAUCAGCGUACCUUCUGGUGCGUGCACUCGGUCAUUCGCCUGCCAGCAUCAGUUUGAGCAGUGGGACAAAGGCGCAGGGAACGUGGCUCCCCUCGGGGAGUGUUAUAGCCCGGCGCGUAAUGCCACUUGCACAGACUGAGGUCCGCGCUCCGUGCUAGGAUGCUGGCUUAAUGGUUGUAACGGCCCGUCUUGAAACACGG